AAAGUUUAAUUUUCCCCCUGGAGAGGAUACCCACUGGAACCGGUGAAUUAAUACCUCAAAACUCCCUGGUUUAACCUUAAGUUGAAUAGGGAAAAUGGUUUUCUCCCAAGGGAUAAGACUAUUUCCCUAUCACUAUUGUGUUUAAGAAGACUCCCAAGCGAAUGACGGGUAACCUGGUCUGAAGAGGAUGAUUCAACCACACUGGAACUGAGACCCGGUCCAGACUCCUACGGGAGGCACAAUGGGGAAUAUUGCACAAUGGGGGAAACCCUGAUGCAGCAACCCGCGUGGAGGAAGAAGCAUUUAGGUGUGUAAACUCCCUUUUAUCAAGGAAGAAGAUGACGGGUACUUGAUGAAUAAGCACCGGCUAACUCCGUGCCAGCACCGCGGUAAUACGGAGGGUGCAAGCGUUACUCGGAAUCACUGGGCGUAAAGCGCAUGUAGCGUUGUUUAAGUUAGAAGUGAAAGCCUACGGCUCAACCGUGGAACAGCUUCUAAAACUGAAUGACUAGAGUCUGGGAGAGGAAGAUGGAAUUAGUAGUGUAGGGGUAAAAUCCGUAGAGAUUACUAGGAAUACCGAAAGCGAAGGCGAUCUUCUGGAACAGGACCUGACCCCUGAGAUGCGAAAGCGUGGGGAGCAAACAGGAUUAGAUACCCUGGUAGUCCACGCCCUAAACGAUGAAUGUUAGUCGUUGGAGUGGCUAGCCACUUCAGGAUGCAGCUAACGCAUUAAACAUUCCGCCUGGGGAGUACGGCCGGAAGGUAAAACUCAAAGGAAUAGACGGGGACCCGCACAAGUGGGGAGCCAUGUGGUUUAAUUCGAAGAUACGCGAAGAACCUUAACCUGGCCUUGACAUAUACCAGAAUCUGCCAGAGAUGGGGAGUGCCUUCGGGAGCUGGUAUACAGGUGCUGCACGGCUGUCGCAGCUCGUGUCGGAGAUGUUGGGUUAAGUCCCGCAACGAGCGCAACCCUCGGACUAGUUACUAACAGCAUAGGCUGAGG
rnacentral:rRNA from 1 species